rnacentral:rRNA from 1 species
UACGUAGGGGGCGAGCGUUGUCCGAAUUCACUGGGCGUAAAGCGCGCGUAGGCGGGUUUUUAAGUUGGGGGUGAAAUCCCGAGGCUCAACCUCGGAACUGCCUCCAAAACUGGAAGCCUUGAGGUUUGGAGAGGGAAGUGGAAUUCCAGGUGUAGCGGUGAAAUGCGUAGAUAUCUGGAGGAACACCCGUGGCGAAGGCGGCUUCCUGGCCAUAUCCUGACGCUGAGGUGCGAAAGCUAGGGGAGCGAACGGG